AUUUCACAAAACGCCUAUGAUGAGGUCUUUCCCAAUUCUCGUUCUGUGUAAUUUUUCUACCGUUGUGAUCACCAUGUCCUUCUCUAUAGGUUGAUCAUAGCAAAACACUCAACUGAAAUGUGAGCCGGAGGAGCCGUCGCACUAGAGAGUCCCACUGCCGGUGAGUUUCAAGUUUUUGUAUUUUUUCUCGCAGAGAUCGAUGCAAAAUCGGCCGAAUUCAGCUGAAAAUUGUCGAAAAUAGUCGACCCAAGGCAGAGCCGUGCCGAAAUUCUGAAAUUGUCCAAGUGGACCCCGGGACUAAUUUUGGGUUUGUUUGAGACAUUUGUAGGUACUAUUAGCGCGUUUUAAUUUCCGAAGAAAAAUUCAGAGAACUCAGGAAUCGCCCAUAGGCGCAGUCAACCAGCUUAGCCUUUCUGGCAUCAAAUCGAGUAAGGAUCUCUCACACUAUUCCUUAUCAUAGAAUUGAAGUCUAAAUAAAUAAUUAUAUGGUAUUUAUACAAAUUAAAUAAAUGUGCAUAAUUAAUUACGGAUUGCUAAUGGAGCCUAAAUCAGAAAUUAUUCUCUGUUAAUUUUUGUUGAUUUAUUUUAUGAUCUAAAAGUAUGACGGUAUCUGGUUUAUUAAUUUUAUGGUUUGAAUGCAUGAAUUGCUGCCUUACAUGACUACUGUUUGAUUGGGAAAUUGAGAUAUGAUUGCAUUCUCUGAUGCAUGUUUGCUUGCUUAUAUG
rnacentral:lncRNA from 1 species